rnacentral:tRNA from 1 species
UGGGGUGUCGUCAAGUGGUAAGACACAAGCCUUUGGAGCUUGCAUUCGCAGGUUCGAAUCCUGCCACCCCAGCCA